GACGAACGCUGGCGGCGUGCUUAACACAUGCAAGUCGAACGGAAAGGCCCCUUUGGGGGUACUCGAGUGGCGAACGGGUGAGUAACACGUGAGUAACCUGCCCUUGACUUCGGGAUAACUUCAGGAAACUGGGGCUAAUACCGGAUAGGAAUCCUUGCUGCAUGGUGGGGGUUGGAAAGCUUCGGCGGUUUUGGAUGGACUCGCGGCUUAUCAGCUUGUUGGUGGGGUAGUGGCUUACCAAGGCUUUGACGGGUAGCCGGCCUGAGAGGGCGACCGGCCACAUUUGGACUGGGAUACGGGCCAGGCUCCUUCCGGGAGCAACAGGUGGGAAUUUUUCACCAUGGGGCGGAGCCCUAUUCAGCAACGGCGGCGUCCGGAAGACGGCCUUCGGGUUGUAAACCGCUUUCAGCAGGGGCGAAGCUUGUGGUGACGGUACCUGCAGAAGAAGCACCGGCUAACUACGUG
rnacentral:rRNA from 1 species